AACGAACGCUGGCGGCAUGCCUAACACAUGCAAGUCGAACGAGACCUUCGGGUCUAGUGGCGCACGGGUGCGUAACGCGUGGGAAUCUGCCCUUGGGUUCGGAAUAACAGCGAGAAAUUGCUGCUAAUACCGGAUGAUGACGUAAGUCCAAAGAUUUAUCGCCCAAGGAUGAGCCCGCGUAGGAUUAGCUAGUUGGUGAGGUAAAGGCUCACCAAGGCGACGAUCCUUAGCUGGUCUGAGAGGAUGAUCAGCCACACUGGGACUGAGACACGGCCCAGACUCCUACGGGAGGCAGCAGUGGGGAAUAUUGCGCAAUGGGCGAAAGCCUGACGCAGCGACGCCGCGUGGGUGAUGAAGGCCUUGGGUCGUAAAGCCCUGUCGCAGGGGAAGAAGU
rnacentral:rRNA from 1 species